rnacentral:lncRNA from 1 species
GGUAGAAUGGGUUUAAAUAAUAACAAAGAGACGAAUUUUGGUCCCUAAGAGACCUCAUGAUGCGAAUGUAUGUAUGCAAAAAGGAAAUACUCUGUGGGGAUAUGUGUCCACAAAGAAGAAAAGAAAUAUGGAGAAACUGACUAUCCAUAUGAGUAAUACACUCAAUGGGACAGAGACUCUAGGGACUCUAACGGGAUAAGAAAAAGAAUAAAAAUGCGUGAGCAGGUCACGAUUUAAG